GGCAGAUCUAUAACCAGUUUGGGGGUUUCUAGGAACCCGUUCGGUUCGUAAUUUAUAGUGUUAAAUUAUAUAGAAAACUGUGAAGAAACCCUUUAAUAUUGUUUAGAGCAACCUUAUAAAUGAAUCUCUGGAUGGUCUACCCGGUAAACAUGCGCGCUUGUUACAUAAGAGGUCCAUGUUCGAGUCUGGUUUGCAUUUUUUGUAGCUUUUUUGUUCUUUUUGUUUACCCUCAAACACAAACCACACACAUAGAACGGAACGCGCUACCAGCAGCCGGCCGCCUCGCCGGAGCCACUCCCUCAUCCACACCAUUCUUCAAUUUAACUGUUUGUGACCAUGUUUCUUGCUUCUUUUUUUGUCAGCAUUCGAUGCGUAUGAGUAGUGAAUCUCAUUGUCCACUACAAUACUAAUGUGAAAAAGAUAAUAAAGUUGUCACUAGUUUUACUGGUCAAUUUGACCGGGUCCAGCCCGUUUGACCCACCCAUCGGAAAGAGAACGGUAACAUACUUCAGUAUCAAUUUCAGCUGAUUCCACAGUUAUAUUGACAUCUGCCAUUAUCUUGACUAUUUCUAAGAGCAAUCCAGGUCUAUCUUCUGUCUCUAUACACAGCAAGCUAAAACCAACC